rnacentral:lncRNA from 1 species
UUUGGGGAGAUUGAGUCUGAGCCGGCAGUGGCUGCGGGGGCGAGCUGUCACAAAUGUAGCAGCCCAACAGGAGAUGGCGAUACGGGGUGACAUCAUCGCUUCGGAGCAGCGACUCGUCCAGCUGGGGGUGUGCCUCGUGAGCCAGACGAAUUAAGUGAUCAUGUAUUGUGGCGACAUAGUGGUACAGGCGCAGCAGCACAAUGGGUUUCUCGUGGCCGCUCCGGGCGCGAUGCAUGGCUUGGCAGUUUUCCCACCUAUUCCCAUCCCCGGCAGACAUUUCAUGGCUU